GGUCUCGGAGGCGGCGGUGGUUUGGGAGGCGGCCACGGCGGCAGCGGUGGAUUUGGAGGCGGUGGCGCCUAUGGCGGCAGCAACGGUGGUGGCGGUGGCCACGGAGACAGCGGUUCCGGUGGAUUCGGAGGCGGAAACGGCGGUGGUGGCGGCGGCGGAUUAGGAGGCGGUGGCGGCUAUGGCGGCAGCAACGGUGGUGGCUAUGGCGGCAGCAGCGGUGGUGGCGGUGGCCAUGGAGACGACGGUUCCGGUGGAUUCGGAGGUGGAAACGGCGGCGGCGGCGGCGGCGGCUUAGGCGGUGGCCACGGCGGUUCCGGCGGAUUCGGAGGCGGCAACAACGGUGGCGGUAGCGGUGGAUACGGAGGCGGUGGAAAUGGGGGCAGCGGCGGCGGCUACGGCAGUGCGAGUGCUAAGGCAAGCGCCAGUGCCAGUGCCAGCUCUAGCGCUGGAGGCGGUGGCGGAUACAAGAGCGGAUACGGCCGUUAAGAUCCCAGCUUCAGGGCAGAGAUUCAAGAACCCCAAUGUGAUACUUUAGAUAUAUUUAUGCCAUAAUUUUGUAGAUAUGUAUAAAAUAUACGAUAUGUUUCUGUAA